rnacentral:tRNA from 2 species
UGACAAAGGAAAAUUAAUUUCGUUAAUAAAUUUACAGUUUAUCGCCUGAACUCAGCCACUUUAUC